UUAAAGUAGGGGUUAUUUAGUCCUUAUUUGCUUUAUAGAAUAUUUACCUACGGUUAUGUAAACGUAUGUAAAGAAGCGCUUUCAUAGUGAAACUGAGAAUCCACAAACUCUUUAAGCUCCUGAGUUGUCACUUUAACUAGUAAUACAUAAGUCGAAUACCGAAAGACCCUUUUUCCGAAAAUGGUAUAAACUCUGCGAUUAAAUGAUUGAGGGGAAGGUCAAGCCUUUUUACACUAUUCAAAAAUGUGGACGCCCUGUAUAAGCACGAAGAUUUUAGUACACGGAGAAAAUACCCGACACUCGGUAGGAUUUAAAUUUAGGUAUCACUGAUCGUUAGCAGGAAGCGCAUGCAUAGAGCCAGCGAGGAUUGUGCGCAACUUCCUUCAUGGGCAAUAAUAUUUUUCUUCCAACGUCUCGACUACGCUGAUAAUAUCUGUUUGUUCACUCACCGGGGCAUAGGCCCUGGCUCAAUGACUCUGGUAUUGCAGAAGGGCAAAGUUGAGUUUGAUAUCAACAUCUAAUUGUGUUUUUUCCGCACUAGUAUUCUCUCUGUAUUGUUGCAGGGAGCAGCAAAUAGAAACUAACGUCCACUGUUACUCAAAAGCUCCAAGUCAUCAUUAAAACCUGGCUCCUUCGUGCAUUAGUGUAAUCUGGCCUGAGAAAAUCUGGAAUGACGACCUUAGUCAGCGUAUGAGCCUGUUAGUGGAAGUGGAUAGGAUGUCUACUUUCUAUAACAAAUUGAUGAAUAGAAUCGAUUUAUCGAAUCGAGAUUUAGGCUCAAACUUUGAAUUUAAAGUAAUAUAAAUCAAUUUACUUCGCUGCGUUUAUAUGCUAUCCUUUUACUUUUCGACGUAAAGCAACUGAAAUCAGCCAGAUAAUGCGUAAGGAUAAUAAGAAAGCAUGUGCCUUUUUUUAAUAGUU